rnacentral:tRNA from 1 species
GAAAAGUUAGUUAAUAUAUAACAUAAAAUUGUCAAUUUUAAAUUACUACAUAUCUUAGUACUUAUCA